CAAGGUUUUCCCCGAGCAAAGCGGAGAAGUCGAAUACGAGCGCGGAAGGCUUGCUGGGAAUCCCUAACUGAAAAUUAUUAAUUUAUUAGCAAUUUCCAGCAAGCCUUUCGCGUUCGUAUUCGACUUUACCGCUUUGCUCUUGGACAACCUUAAUUG